GCAGUUAAAUAACCAAUUGCCCGCCAAAUAACUACGAGUAAAAACUUAAAAUUUAAAAGACUUGACGGUACUUCAAAACAACCUAGAGGAGCCUGUCUAAUAACCGAUACCCCACGAUUAACCCUACCCCUUCUAGCCAACAGUCUAUAUACCGCCGUCGCCAGCUUACCUUGUGAAAGAAACAAAGUAAGCUUAAUAGUCUAACACUAACACGACAGGUCGAGGUGUAACUCAUGAAUGGGCUCAGAUGGGCUACAUUUUCUAACCCAGAAAACACGAAUAACCUAUGAAAUUAGAAACUGAAGGCGGAUUUAGCAGUACGCUAAGGAUAAAAUACUUAACUGAAACAAACGCAAUGAAGUGCGUACACACCGCCCGUCAUCC
rnacentral:rRNA from 1 species